GACCGAUAGUGAACCAGUACCGUGAGGGAAAGGUGAAAAGUACCCCGGAAGGGGAGUGAAAGAGAACUUGAAACCGUGUGCUUACAAGUAGUCAGAGCCCGUUAAUGGGUGAUGGCGUGCCUUUUGUAGAAUGAACCGGCGAGUUACGAUUUGAUGCAAGGUUAAGCAGCUAAUGUGGAGCCGUAGCGAAAGCGAGUCUGAAUAGGGCGUUUAGUAUUUGGUCGUAGACCCGAAACCAGGUGAUCUACCCUUGGUCCGGUUGAAGUUCAGGUAACACUGAAUGGAGGACCGAACCGACUUACGUUGAAAAGUGAGCGGAUGAACUGAGGGUAGCGGAGAAAUUCCAAUCGAACUUGGAGAUAGCUGGUUCUCUCCGAAAUAGCUUUAGGGCUAGCCUCAAGUGAUGAUUAUUGGAGGUAGAGCACUGGUUGGACGAGGGGCCCUUCUCGGGUUACCGAAUUCAGACAAACUCCGAAUGCCAAUCAAUUUAACUUGGGAGUCAGAACAUGGGUGAUAAGGUCCGUGUUCGAAAGGGAAACAGCCCAGACCACCAGCUAAGGUCCCAAAAUAUAUGUUAAGUGGAAAAGGAUGUGGCGUUGCCCAGACAACUAGGAUGUUGGCUUAGAAGCAGCCAUCAUUUAAAGAGUGCGUAAUAGCUCACUAGUCGAGUGACACUGCGCCGAAAAUGUACCGGGGCUAAACAUAUUACCGAAGCUGUGGAUUGUCCGUAGGACAAUGGUAGGAGAGCGUUCUAAGGGCGUCGAAGCAUGAUCGCAAGGACAUGUGGAGCGCUUAGAAGUGAGAAUGCCGGUGUGAGUAGCGAAAGACGGGUGAGAAUCCCGUCCACCGAUUGACUAAGGUUUCCAGAGGAAGGCUCGUCCGCUCUGGGUUAGGCGGGUCCUAAGCUGAGGCCGACAGGCGUAGGCGAUGGAUAACAGGUUGAUAUUCCUGUACCACCUAGUAUCGUUUUAAUCGAUGGGGGGACGCAGUAGGAUAGGCGAAGCGUGCUAUUGGAUUGCACGUCCAAGCAGUAAGACUGAGUGUUAGGCAAAUCCGGCACUCAUAAGGUCAAGCUGUGAUGGGGAGAGGAAAUUGUUUCCUCGAGUCGUUGUUUUCACACUGCCAAGAAAAGCCUCUAGAUAGAUAACAGGUGCCCGUACCGCAAACCGACACAGGUAGUCAAGAUGAGAAUUCUAAGGUGAGCGAGCGAACUCUCGUUAAGGAACUCGGCAAAAUGACCCCGUAACUUCGGGAGAAGGGGUGCUCUUUAGGGUUAACGCCCAGAAGAGCCGCAGUGAAUAGGCCCAAGCGACUGUUUAUCAAAAACACAGGUCUCUGCUAAACCGUAAGGUG
rnacentral:ncRNA from 1 species